GAUGAACGCUAGCUACAGGCUUAACACAUGCAAGUCGAGGGGCAGCAUGGUCUUAGCUUGCUAAGGCCGAUGGCGACCGGCGCACGGGUGAGUAACACGUAUCCAACCUGCCGUCUACUCUUGGACAGCCUUCUGAAAGGAAGAUUAAUACAAGAUGGCAUCAUGAGUUCACAUGUUCACACGAUUAAAGGUAUUCCGGUAGACGAUGGGGAUGCGUUCCAUUAGAUAGUAGGCGGGGUAACGGCCCACCUAGUCUUCGAUGGAUAGGGGUUCUGAGAGGAAGGACCCCCACAUUGGAACUGAGACACGGUCCAAACUCCUACGGGAGGCAGCAGUGAGGAAUAUUGGGCAAUGGGCGAGAGCCUGAACCAGCCAAGUAGCGUGAAGGAUGACUGCCUAUGGGUUGUAAACUUCUUUUAUAAAGGAAUAAAGUCGGGUAUGUAUACCCGUUUGCAUGUACUUUAUGAAUAAGGAUCGGCUAACUCCGUG
rnacentral:rRNA from 1 species